GGCAGGGGUCUGCAAAAAGACGGGUCUUGAGGGAGGAAAGAGCUCCUUCAGGAGAAGGAGGCUGCUGUUGUGUGAAUUAAAUGAGGAAACAAGAUGAACAAAAUCUGUUAACUCAGAGAUUAAACCCACCAAAGGCUCUGAUAAAGCAGCAGAGAUCCACUCAGGCCGUAAGUCCACAGGCACGCCAGAUAGGAAGAUGUAUGCUCAAAGAGAAACACAGCCUUAGAGAAAAACAGAACAUGUGGCACGGAAGCUAACUUUACUUUUCCCGAGUACCUGCUGUUUAGUCAAUUGAGAUACUGAUGGGAAGAAAUAUAGCAGGUAGAAGAGACUACCUCCAGGAAAGAGCAGCUGUCCGUUUUUGUCUUCUGGAUACGGAUAAAGCACUGUAGGGACUAUCAUCAGGGUUUCAUCAACCAUAAUAAUCUUGCUGUAUUUGCUGAGUGGCCUAAAGAUGACAUCAAACAAUGUACAGUAGCUGACCAUUUACUCUUCCAAACCUUUCUUGCUGGGAUUUCCGUGAACUGAACUUUUGGAGGAACACAUUAGAUGGCUGAUUAAAGGUCUGUCUUUGGAGUCAUCUGAGCAACUGGUGAAUCAAGAUGCCUCUGAGAAGCUCACAGGCAGGAUCUGAAGGCACCAGCCACCUCCAUCUGUCCCCAGAACCUGGUCCUUAAAGGCAUACUGCCUUUAAAGCUGUGCAGAAUCUUGCUUGCCACCUCAGGAAAAGUGACCUGCAGAGCAGUGAGGUGUGGAUCUCAGCAGUGUUCUCUUCUCUCAGCAUUGUUACUGUGGGAGAAGUCUCAUCUCUAGAUGAAAAGUCAACAACUCAUAGGACUGGUCUGUCCACCUAGCAUAUCACAGCUCUCUUACAGCCCACCAGCCAUGUGUGUUGGCUGGCUCAUUAAAGCUCUAUGGACUGCCUUCCUGGAACAGCAAAAAUUGGGGAUUGGGAAGCCACCAUGAGCUACUAGUUUUGCAGGUCUGCCAUCAAAUAUUUCUGGAUAAUAUGCAGGGGCAUCAUAGGAACUGUUACACUCAGUUUACUUAAAUAAAAGCAGCAACACCAGUUAAAGGCAGUGUUUAUAUACCUGUCCUCAUUUCAUGGAGGACAGGUCUAUUUCAUGGACAGGUCUAUUCAUGGCUACUAGUCUGGUGGCUACAGGCCACCUCCAGCCUCAGAGGCAUGAUGCCUCUCAA